UACGUAGGUGGCAAGCGUUAUCCGGAUUUACUGGGUGUAAAGGGCGUGUAGGCGGGAAAGCAAGUCAGAUGUGAAAACCAUGGGCUCAACCUGUGGCCUGCAUUUGAAACUGUUUUUCUUGAGUACUGGAGAGGUAGACGGAAUUCCUAGUGUAGCGGUGAAAUGCGUAGAUAUUAGGAGGAACACCAGUGGCGAAGGCGGUCUGCUGGACAGCAACUGACGCUGAGGCGCGAAAGCGUGGGGAGCAAACAGG
rnacentral:rRNA from 1 species